CACUCAGGUGGCUUAAGUGGUUAGAGCAUCUGCCUUGAAUGUGAGAAUUCAUGGGUUCAAACCCCAGCUGAGUGA